CCGUAACACACGGAUGACGUAAGGCUGUGUCUGACCUGGAGUGCAGCAGCUGAGUCUGACAGCAUCAUCCGCUCACAUCAGGCUUUCCUGCACCGUCAGCAGCGGAUCAGCUUUCUCCAGACACAGAUCUGUGAAUCAUCUCUACAGACCAGCUGUCUGCUGGUAAACACGAGCCAAACCGGCACCGAGACCGGCUGCCCACAAACUCAAUCCUUCCCUCCGGCGGCUGCUAAUGCAGGAUGAGCUCAUGCUCUCAGAGACACACUCACUUAAUACAUCCAUAUAUGAUUUGAUGUGAUAUGAUGUGAUGUGAUGAGAAGAGAUGAGAUGAGAUGAGAUGAGAUGAGAUGAGAUGAGAUGAGAUGAGAUGAGAUGUGAUGUGAUGUGAUGUGAUGAGAUGAGAUGUGAUGAGUUGUGAUGAGAUGAGAUGAGAUGAGAUGAGAUGAGAUGUGAUGAGAAGAGAUGUGAUGUGAUGAGAUGAGAUGAGAUGAGAUGUGAUGUGAUGUGACGAGAUGAGA
ensembl:lncRNA